rnacentral:tRNA from 1 species
GUCCUUGUAGCUCAGCAGGAUAGAGCGUGGGAUUCCUAAUCCCAAGGUCGUGGGUUCGACUCCCGCCAAGGACACCA